rnacentral:rRNA from 1 species
GGGGGGGGGGGGGGGGGGGGGGGGGGGGGGGGGGGGGGGGGGGGGGGCGGAGGUGGGGGGGGGGGGAUGAGUGGCGAACGGGUGGGUAACGCGGGAGUAACCUGCCCCCUGCUUUGGGAUAACGCGCGGAAACGGGUGCUAAUACUGGAUAUUCACUGGUCUUCGCAUGGGGGUUGGUGGAAAGGGUUUUUCUGGUGGGGGAUGGGCUCGCGGCCUAUCAGCUUGUUGGUGGGGUGAUGGCCUACCAAGGCUUUGACGGGUAGCCGGCCUGAGAGGGUGACCGGUCACAUUGGGACUGAGAUACGGCCCAGACUCCUACGGGAGGCAGCAGUGGGGAAUAUUGCACAAUGGGCGCAAGCCUAAUGCAGCGACGCCGCGUGAGGGAUGGAGGCCUUCGGGUUGUGAACCUCUUUCGCUCAUGGUCAAGCCGCAACAAUGGUUGUGGUGAGGGUAGUGGGUAAAGAAGCGCCGGCUAACUACGUG